GACCGUGCAAAGGUAGCAUAAUCAUUUGCCUUAUAAUUGAAGGCUAGUAUGAAUGGUUUGACGAGAAUUAAGCUGUCUCUUUUCAAUUAAAUAUAAUUUUAUUUAGAGGUGAAGAAGCCUGUGUAAUAUUGAAAGACAAGAAGACCCUAUCGAGCUUUAAAUAAUUUAAUAAAUUAAUCAUAUAUUUAUAUAAAAAUUAGGUUAUUAAAAAUUUUAGUUGGGGCGACUGAGGAACAAAUAAAGCUUCCUUUAUUUAUAAAGAACAUACAAGUGAUGAUCCAAUAACUUUGAUCAAAGGAAUUAGUUACCGUAGGGAUAACAGCAUAAUCCUCUUUGAGAGCCCACAUCGAAAAGGGGGUUUGUGACCUCGAUGUUGGACCAGAAUAUCCUGAAGAUGCAGCCGUCUUCAAUGGUUGGUCUGUUCGACCAUUAAAAUUCUACGUGAUCUGAGUUCAGACCGGCGUGAGCCAGGUCAGUUUCUAUCUUCAAUUAUUAAGAUGUUCUUAGUACGAAAGGACCAGGACAGCACAUUACGUUGUUACUUAUUGAUUAUAUAUAAAUAAUUAUUAAACUACUAAUACAAAUCAAAUUAGCAAAGAUAAUGCAAUUGACUUAGGAUCAAUAGACAUAGGUGAAAUCCCUUUAUUUGAUACAAUUUCGUAAUUAUAAAAGUGGCAGAAAAA
rnacentral:rRNA from 1 species